rnacentral:tRNA from 1 species
GCAGUGGUGGUUCAGUGGCAGAAUUCUUACCUUCCAUGCAGAAGACCUGGGUUCAAUUCCUGGCCAGUGCA